rnacentral:rRNA from 1 species
AAUGAACGCUGGCGGCAUGCCUAACACAUGCAAGUCGAACGAGAACACGGGGACCUGUGGCGCCUGGGUGCGUAGGGGGGCGGAAGGUGACCUUAGGUUCGGAAUAACUAUAAGAAAGGGGUGAUAACAGUAGAUAAUAUCUUAUACCCAAUAAUAUAUCGCACUGGGGUGGGCAAGGGUUGGAUUCGCUUGUUGGUAGGGUAAUAGCCUACCAAGGCGACGAUGGAUAGAUGGUAAAAGAGGGAGAUCAGCCACACUGGGACUGAGACACGGCCCCAACUCCGACGGGAGGAAGCAGCCGGGACUCUUACGCAAUGGGGGAAAGCCUGAUACAGCAAAGCCGGGUGAGGGCUGAAGGACUUAGGCUUGUAAAGUGAUGUUGUCCGGAAGGAAGAAAAGCUCGUUUACCCGCGAUGGUAAUGACGGUACCGAAAGAAUAAGCUCCGGCUAACUACGUG